rnacentral:rRNA from 12 species
AAUUGGAAUGAGUACAAUUUAAAUCCCUUAACGAGGAACAAUUGGAGGGCAAGUCUGGUGCCAGCAGCCGCGGUAAUUCCAGCUCCAAUAGCGUAUAUUAAAGUUGUUGCAGUUAAAAAGCUCGUAGUUGAACUUCAGGCCUGGCCGGGCGGUCCGCCUCACGGUGUGUACUGUCUGGCUGGGUCUUACCUCUUGGUGAACCUGCAUGCCCUUCACUGGGUGUGUAGGGGAACCAGGACUUUUACCUUGAGAAAAUUAGAGUGUUCAAAGCAGGCC